rnacentral:rRNA from 1 species
GUGGGGAAUAUUGCACAAUGGGCGCAAGCCUGAUGCAGCAACGCCGCGUGAGGGACGACGGCCUUCGGGUUGUAAACCUCUUUUAGCAGGGAAGAAGCGAAAGUGACGGUACCUGCAGAAAAAGCACCGGCUAACUACGUGCCAGCAGCCGCGGUAAUACGUAGGGUGCAAGCGUUGUCCGGAAUUAUUGGGCGUAAAGAGCUCGUAGGCGGUUUGUCGCGUCUGCGGUGAAAACCCGAGGCUCAACCUCGGGCCUGCAGUGGGUACGGGCAGACUAGAGUGCGGUAGGGGAGAUUGGAAUUCCUGGUGUAGCGGUGGAAUGCGCAGAUAUCAGGAGGAACACCGAUGGCGAAGGCAGAUCUCUGGGCCGUAACUGACGCUGAGGAGCGAAAGCGUGGGGAGCGAACAGGAUUAGAAACCCGGGUAGUCC